UUAAGCGACUAAGCGUACACGGUGGAUGCCCUGGCAGUCAGAGGCGAUGAAGGACGUGCUAAUCUGCGAUAAGCGUCGGUAAGGUGAUAUGAACCGUUAUAACCGGCGAUUUCCGAAUGGGGAAACCCAGUGUGAUUCGUCACACUAUCAUUAACUGAAUCCAUAGGUUAAUGAGGCGAACCGGGGGAACUGAAACAUCUAAGUACCCGAGGAAAAGAAAUCAACCGAGAUUCCCCCAGUAGCGGCGAGCGAACGGGGAGCAGCCCAGAGCCUGAAUCAGUGUGUGUGUUAGUGGAAGCGUCUGGAAAGGCGUGCGAUACAGGGUGACAGCCCCGUACACAAAAAUGCACAUACUGUGAGCUCGAUGAGUAGGGCGGGACACGUGGUAUCCUGUCUGAAUAUGGGGGGACCAUCCUCCAAGGCUAAAUACUCCUGACUGACCGAUAGUGAACCAGUACCGUGAGGGAAAGGCGAAAAGAACCCCGGCGAGGGGAGUGAAAAAGAACCUGAAACCGUGUACGUACAAGCAGUGGGAGCACGCUUAGGCGUGUGACUGCGUACCUUUUGUAUAAUGGGUCAGCGACUUAUAUUCUGUAGCAAGGUUAACCGAAUAGGGGAGCCGAAGGGAAACCGAGUCUUAACUGGGCGUUAAGUUGCAGGGUAUAGACCCGAAACCCGGUGAUCUAGCCAUGGGCAGGUUGAAGGUUGGGUAACACUAACUGGAGGACCGAACCGACUAAUGUUGAAAAAUUAGCGGAUGACUUGUGGCUGGGGGUGAAAGGCCAAUCAAACCGGGAGAUAGCUGGUUCUCCCCGAAAGCUAUUUAGGUAGCGCCUCGUGAAUUCAUCUCCGGGGGUAGAGCACUGUUUCGGCAAGGGGGUCAUCCCGACUUACCAACCCGAUGCAAACUGCGAAUACCGGAGAAUGUUAUCACGGGAGACACACGGCGGGUGCUAACGUCCGUCGUGAAGAGGGAAACAACCCAGACCGCCAGCUAAGGUCCCAAAGUCAUGGUUAAGUGGGAAACGAUGUGGGAAGGCCCAGACAGCCAGGAUGUUGGCUUAGAAGCAGCCAUCAUUUAAAGAAAGCGUAAUAGCUCACUGGUCGAGUCGGCCUGCGCGGAAGAUGUAACGGGGCUAAACCAUGCACCGAAGCUGCGGCAGCGACGCUUAUGCGUUGUUGGGUAGGGGAGCGUUCUGUAAGCCUGUGAAGGUGUGCUGUGAGGUAUGCUGGAGGUAUCAGAAGUGCGAAUGCUGACAUAAGUAACGAUAAAGCGGGUGAAAAGCCCGCUCGCCGGAAGACCAAGGGUUCCUGUCCAACGUUAAUCGGGGCAGGGUGAGUCGACCCCUAAGGCGAGGCCGAAAGGCGUAGUCGAUGGGAAACAGGUUAAUAUUCCUGUACUUGGUGUUACUGCGAAGGGGGACGGAGAAGGCUAUGUUGGCCGGGCGACGGUUGUCCCGGUUUAAGCGUGUAGGCUGGUUUUCCAGGCAAAUCCGGAAAAUCAAGGCCGAGGCGUGAUGACGAGGCACUACGGUGCUGAAGCAACAAAUGCCCUGCUUCCAGGAAAAGCCUCUAAGCAUCAGGUAACAUCAAAUCGUACCCCAAACCGACACAGGUGGUCAGGUAGAGAAUACCAAGGCGCUUGAGAGAACUCGGGUGAAGGAACUAGGCAAAAUGGUGCCGUAACUUCGGGAGAAGGCACGCUGAUACGUAGGUGAAGCGACUUGCUCGUGGAGCUGAAAUCAGUCGAAGAUACCAGCUGGCUGCAACUGUUUAUUAAAAACACAGCACUGUGCAAACACGAAAGUGGACGUAUACGGUGUGACGCCUGCCCGGUGCCGGAAGGUUAAUUGAUGGGGUUAGCGCAAGCGAAGCUCUUGAUCGAAGCCCCGGUAAACGGCGGCCGUAACUAUAACGGUCCUAAGGUAGCGAAAUUCCUUGUCGGGUAAGUUCCGACCUGCACGAAUGGCGUAAUGAUGGCCAGGCUGUCUCCACCCGAGACUCAGUGAAAUUGAACUCGCUGUGAAGAUGCAGUGUACCCGCGGCAAGACGGAAAGACCCCGUGAACCUUUACUAUAGCUUGACACUGAACAUUGAGCCUUGAUGUGUAGGAUAGGUGGGAGGCUUUGAAGUGUGGACGCCAGUCUGCAUGGAGCCGACCUUGAAAUACCACCCUUUAAUGUUUGAUGUUCUAACGUGGACCCGUGAUCCGGGUUGCGGACAGUGUCUGGUGGGUAGUUUGACUGGGGCGGUCUCCUCCUAAAGAGUAACGGAGGAGCACGAAGGUUGGCUAAUCCUGGUCGGACAUCAGGAGGUUAGUGCAAUGGCAUAAGCCAGCUUGACUGCGAGCGUGACGGCGCGAGCAGGUGCGAAAGCAGGUCAUAGUGAUCCGGUGGUUCUGAAUGGAAGGGCCAUCGCUCAACGGAUAAAAGGUACUCCGGGGAUAACAGGCUGAUACCGCCCAAGAGUUCAUAUCGACGGCGGUGUUUGGCACCUCGAUGUCGGCUCAUCACAUCCUGGGGCUGAAGUAGGUCCCAAGGGUAUGGCUGUUCGCCAUUUAAAGUGGUACGCGAGCUGGGUUUAGAACGUCGUGAGACAGUUCGGUCCCUAUCUGCCGUGGGCGCUGGAGAACUGAGGGGGGCUGCUCCUAGUACGAGAGGACCGGAGUGGACGCAUCACUGGUGUUCGGGUUGUCAUGCCAAUGGCACUGCCCGGUAGCUAAAUGCGGAAGAGAUAAGUGCUGAAAGCAUCUAAGCACGAAACUUGCCCCGAGAUGAGUUCUCCCUGACCCUUUAAGGGUCCUGAAGGAACGUUGAAGACGACGACGUUGAUAGGCCGGGUGUGUAAGCGCAGCGAUGCGUUGAGCUAACCGGUACUAAUGAACCGUGAGGCUUAACCUU
rnacentral:rRNA from 1 species